UACGUAGGGUGCAAGCGUUGUCCGGAAUUAUUGGGCGUAAAGAGCUCGUAGGCGGUUUGUUGCGUCGGCUGUGAAAUCCCGAGGCUCCACCUCGGGUCUGCAGUCGAUACGAGCAAACUAGAGUGUUGCAGGGGAGACUGGAAUUCCUGGUGUAGCGGUGAAAUGCGCAGAUAUCAGGAGGAACACCGGUGGCGAAGGCGGGUCUCUGGGCAACAACUGACGCUGAGGAGCGAAAGCGUGGGGAGCGAACAGG
rnacentral:rRNA from 1 species